UACGUAGGGUGCAAGCGUUAAUCGGAAUUACUGGGCGUAAAGCGUGCGCAGGCGGUGAUGUAAGACAGUUGUGAAAGCCCCGGGCUCAACCUGGGAAUUGCAUUCGAGACUGCAUUGCUGGAGUACGGAAGAGGAAGGCGGAAUUCCCGGUGUAGCGGUGAAAUGCGUAGAUAUCGGGAGGAACAUCAGUGGCGAAGGCGGCCUUCUGGUCCAGUACUGACACUCAAGUGCGAAAGCGUGGGGAGCAAACAGG
rnacentral:rRNA from 1 species